CAUAGAAUAUUAGUGCUGCAAGGGACCUUAACGAACCGUAAUCAGAUCCCCUCAUUUUAUAAAUGAUGAAAAUAUUCAUCUGUGGCUGGUCGUAGAAUUCUGAGCACAUUCCCUCUGAUGCCUCAGAGGCUCUCUGGUUGUUCUUUGUGGCAUUAGAAGGAGAAGAAUGGUACGAAUUUAUACUUUUCCUGGAGUCCUGUCAAGGGUAAAAACAGAAUGAGAAUUAGGUUAUCUUAGGCUCAAGAUUUAAGUUGAAUGGGUACUCAAGUUCCUAGAAAUGAGGGUGAAGAACGUUGAUGUUUAGAUUAAGUAGUUUUCAACCACACACAAUUUUGUCCCCAAAGGAGGAUUUGGUAACAUCUGCAGAAUUUUUUUUGUCAUAACUGGAAGGGAUGUUACCAGCAGCUAGUUUUGAGAGGUCAGGGAUCCCGCUAAACAUCCUUCAAUGUGUGGAACAGAACCCCCGACAAAGAAUGAUCCAGCCCCACUGUCAACAGUGCCAAAGGCUGAGAAACCCUGCAGUAGAUGUUCUUGUCAACUCAGAAGACAGGUCAAGGCCAAGAACAAAGAACAGAGAAUUGCCAUUUACAAACAAUGUACCUCCAAAUGGCAUGGCCGAAAACUUUCCUCUGUCAGAAUGACAAGGAAGCAAAGGAUACAGUGAUUGGGGGACCUCCUGUGAAAAAGUCUUGGGGAAUGGAAGUUCUGACUCCAGCAUAACAGCUGAAGCUGGGGAUUGGCCUGACCCAGCUCCACUGGGAAAAGGAGCUUUAUUCAUAACUACCCAAACGUGGAAGCAACCGAGAUGUCCCCCAACAGGCAAGAAGAUACAUAAACUGGGAUACAUCAAGGCAAUGGGAACGCCAUUCAGCAACAAAAAGAGAUGAACUACAGAGACAUGAGGAGAACCCCAAAUGCAUAUUACCGGCUGAAAGAAGACAUCUGAAAAGGGUUCCAGGAUGUUUCUCAUCUGUCAAAUGUGCAGAUUGCACUAUACAGGCUUGCAAACCAGAAUACCUACAAGAGUCAGGCCUGUGAUGCCAAUGAGUAAUCAGGCCAGGUUGGGCCUUCUUCAAGGAGGCGACUGACUGAUUCAGUUGAUGCUGAUUGCUGCCACUCCAGAAUACAGGUCCACAACAGAGACACCUUCUUAUUGCUCAAGCAAAGUUACAAAUAGAGAUUUAAAGUCCCAAUCCAGUCUGACUACCAUACCAUGGAUUCAAUGCAUUUGACCCCAGCUCCUCAACCUUUUCUCCAAAUGAAAGGCUAUGGCGUGUGCAAAGUGUCAAACAGAAGCAGAUGAAAAUCCGGCUUUACAAAGAUGUUAUGUCAUCAGAAGAAAUGCAACAGAAUCUAAUCUUGAAACUGUGGACUACAUUGAUCUAGUAGUUUGUGUGGUUUCUGACAGAUGUCAACUAUUGCUAUUUC
rnacentral:lncRNA from 1 species